GGACCUGCCUCUGAGUAGGCAUUGUUAAGAUUGUGCUGUAAGGCUACAUGUUCCACAUACAUUGAUCAGACAAUAGUUAUUCACUGUGCAUAACUGUGAGACUAUAUGUGCAAAGGCAUAUCUAGGAGUAAGCUCCAUUGAAUUCAGUGGGAUAUCCCUGAGUAGACAUGGAUAGGGUUCAAACAAAGGGAAGCUUUGUCCCACCCCUAUAGUGCCCCUGGGGGGAUGAGUUGCAUCUGCCUCAGGAGCCAAUGUGAAAGGAAAGCAUGAUGACUUUAUUUAUGUAAAGACCUACCAAAGGAAAAAGCAUGGAUUAAAUUGUGUUUUGUUAUUUUAUUUAUUUAUUUAAUAAAACCCAUAUACCGAUUGUAAAAAACAAAACUCAACGCGGUUUAUAAAUACCAAAUGCAAUAUCCAAGAGUAAUGAAUAUAUAAAAAAGGCAAAGGACCCCUGGAUGGUUAAGUCCAGUCAAAGGUGACUAUGGGAUGUGGCACUCAUCUCGCUUUUCAGGCCAAGGGAGCUGGGGUUUGUCCACAGAUAGCUUUCCAGGUCAUGUGGCCAGCAUUACUAAACCACUACUGGUGCAACGGGACACCGUGACGAGUGCCAGAGCAUACGGAAACACUGUUUACCUUCCCAUCGCAGCGGUACCUAUUUAUCUACUUGCGCUUUGGCGUGCUUUCGAACUGCUAGGUUGGCAGAAGCUGGGACAGAGCAACAAGAACUCACUCUGUUGCGGGGAUUCGAACUGCCAACCUUCUGACCAGCAAAUCCAAGAGGCUCAGUGGUUUAGACCACAGCGCCCCUCGUGUAUAUUGGGAUGAAACACAACUUUUUACACCCUCGCCUUCUGUAUAAAUCCUGCUUAGCUGUCUUAAUUUUGGGAGCCUAAUUAAAGUGGGCCAAAUUGUUUUGAUGCUGUUUGUCAUCAAAAACUCUUGCCGAUCUACUGCAAAGGAGAGAUCUUCUAGCUACAGAUCCUGAUCUACCUGCUGCCCAUCCCUGCAUUGCAAUAGCCUGCUUGUCUGAACAGGAUCGGCCAGCCAAGGUAGCAGGAUUUAAUCUCUGCUCCUCAGCUGAGUGGGGAUCGAAGCCCUGCCCAAAAGUGCCCUUUGAAGCAGGGUGUGCAUGCAAGCUACUUUAAAGAGUCUUUUGCAAAGGCUUUAAGACAACUCCUGUACUUCCACUUGAGCUGCCCAAGGGAGUGUGGAGGCUGUCUUAAAGCCUUUUGCAUGUUUCCUCCCUUUUAACUCCACAAUGUUGGUGGCUUAAAAAGCAUGGGGAAACUUUAAAAGAGCUUUGUGUGUCUCCUCCCACUCCACUUCUAAGCCUCUGAGAUCAGGCAUGGGUGUGUGUGUGGGGGUGUGUGUAGCUUAAAAGGGGAGUAUGGGGAAAUGGGCAAAGGGCAAAACCUUCCCCACCUCUGAUUUAAGGCAUUUAUAUGCUGCUUAAUCAUUAACAUUUCUAAGCAGUUUACAUAAAAAUGAACCAUACAGUGAACAUUCAUCAUAGAACUGAACAUAAUCCCAACACUACCUGAAAAUGCAUUUUGGAACCCUCUGGGAAUGCCUUUAAUCCCUCUGAGGUCACUUCCAGCUGACCUGUUCACUGAGCUUUCAUUCUGAUUGGUAUGUGGGGAGUUAGACAAUGUUGCAUGAGGCAAAUGUUAGUCUACUCAUUUCCUGAGCAUUUCCUCAUCACUUCUCUUAUCAGAAAAAGUCUGAUUUGGGGCUGGGGCUGGGGCAGCAAAUAUCAUGGAGCAAUCAGCUUUAAUUGUGCAAACUAAAUUUGCAACGUUGGGAAAUCACUCUGUCUCUCUCAACAUAACUUGCAAAGUUGCUGUGUGGCUGAAAUGUUACCCUCUGUGAGCUCAAAAUACAGGAUAGAUCCUAGGGCGCUGUGCAGGGCUGUGACCCCAAAUAUUUUGCUGCCUGAGGCAAAAGACAAGUUGGCAUCCCUCACCCUUUCGAGAGUAGCAGUUGAAUCGUGAUUCAAAGAGGCGACCAGGCAGUGCCCUCCACUAUACCUGAGAGCCCCCCCCCAUCCAAACAGCUACUGCCUGAGGCAGCCACUUCACUCUGAUCUAUGCUGGGACUGGUGCCAAGGGUGGGUCCCCUUAACAAGUGGGACUAGUACAAAAGGUGUUUUUUAGGGGGCACUAAAAUUAUGGGAGGUGAGGAUUUUGGGAUUUAUUAAGGUUUCCUUGCCAUUCUCUCCAUAAUCCAGGGUAUACUGAGCUCCUUGAAGGAAGAGGGAGAUGUAAGAUUCUGUUACCAUGUUCUAUAACUAUGGUUUGAUGCCUCAUACUAGCAGAAUUUUUAUGUUUGUCUGGAUUUUGGUACUGACAGGAACCCUGAAACUGUAUGGCUCUAGUUGAAGGGGAAAGCUUAUCCUCAGGUGGCAAACAGCUCUUGACCCUAAUAAAAAUUUGUGCUAGUUAAUUUUGAGAUCUAAAGGGCUCCUUGGUUUACAUCCUUUUUGUUACCAUGGGUACAUUUGCUGCAUUGUGUCAGGCAUAAUAACACAUCCCAUAUGAUUGGUAUGUGUAUGUCCUUUGCAUUUUGAAUGGCUUAUGACUGGGCUGCCUACAACACAACUGCAAUUUUCUGCACAUUUACCUGGGAGCAAUGUCCCAUUAAAUAUCCCAUUAAACACUGUGAGUGAAUGAGCCCAAUUUAUUAUUGUUUGCUUCCAUUUGGAAGUAACCUGAUCUUCUAUCAUAGCAGAGUUAAAAUGUAGGGUGGAGCAGAGCUGCCUCUCUCUCUUUCCUGCCGACAUUUUCACCAUCAGAAAUUGUCCUAUUAAAAGGGACUCCCUUGCCAGUGAUCUCUCUCAUUUGCAGAUAUCAGAACAGCUACAUCCCCUCUAUAUCAGCUUCUUCUAAACGGCAGCCUUAUGGAGGUUUGUAGGGGACACUUUUUGUACUUUUGGUGUCAUGUCAGAAUUUUGUAACCUUGGGAUAAAAAGCAGAAGAGAAACUGGCUUUUGAAAUGUGAAUUUUAUUUUAACAGGCCAGUAAUUAUGGAUGUCUUGAAUGAUGUUUUUACUGAUGGUUUUAUUAUAAUUGUAGCUUUUGUAUGGUUAACACUGCCUUGUUUUGAGUGUGUGUGUGUGUGUGUGUUUCUUUAUGAAACUGCAAUUUACUUUGCUUAAAAGGUGUCAUACAUAAAGACCAAGCCGGAUUCUCCCCAAAUAGACAGUUAAAGGACAAUGUCAGACAUAUUAUAAAUAUCAUAGAAUACCUAGAAGUUAAAAAUGAAGUACCAGCGGCCUUACUGUUUAUAGACGCUGAAAAAGCGUUCGAUAACGUUUCAUGGCAGUUUUUGUUAAAGUCUAUGGAGGAAAUGGGGAUCGAGGGCAACUUCAUAGAAGGUAUAAAGGCGAUCUACUCUAACCAAACAGCUAAAUUAAUUGGUAACAAGAAUCUGACAGACACAUUUAGCAUUAUGAAAGGAACAAGACAAGGUUGCCCUCUCUCCCCUUUACUAUUCAUAAUGGUUCUAGAGGUCAUAGCGAAUGAGGUGAGAUACACGCCAGAGAUACGGGGCAUUAGAGUCGGAACAAAGGAAUAUAAGUUGAAAGCUUAUGCAGAUGACCUAGUGUUAUCAUUAGAAGAACCACAAAUAAGCGUCGGUAAAGUGUUGGAACAAUUAGAUGAAUUUGGUAAGGUAUCAGGUUUCAAACUAAAUAAAACAAAGACUAAAAUGUUGGUGAAAAAUAUAGAUAGGAAUACAAAAGAGAACAUAGAACAGGAAUGUGGAAUUAAGGUCUCAAAAAAAGUCAAAUACUUAGGUAUAUGGUUAACUUCAAAAAAUAUCAAUCUAAUUAGUGAUAAUUAUACACCUAUGUGGAAAGAGAUUAAAAAAGAUCUGGAAAUAUGGAAUAGAUUAAAACUUUCAUGGUCUGGAAGGAUGGCGGCAAUCAAAAUGAAUAUCCUCCCAAAAAUGCUGUUCUUAUUUCAAACCAUUCCGGUGAUUAGAGGAUCCGCGAUUUUUAAGGAAUGGCAAAAAAGUCUUUCAAAAUUUAUAUGGCAGGCAAAAAGGCCAAGAAUUAAAUUUCAAAUAUUAACAGACAGGAGGGAAAGAGGGGCUUUGCUGUGCCAAACCUAAGAUUAUACUAUGAGGCCUCCAGCCUAUGUUGGCUUAAAGAAUGGAUUACCCUAGAGAAUUUAGAUCUGUUAGACUUAGAAGGCUUUAACAAUAGAUAUGGUUGGCAUGCUUACUUGUGGCUCAAUAAAGGAAAGGUCCAUAAAGGAUUCUCCAAUCAUAUUUUCAGAGGAGCAUUGCUUGAAAUUUGGGGAAAAAAUAAGAAACUUUUAGAAAAGAACACUCCUUGGUGGCUAUCCCCGACAGACAUUCUAACAAUAAAAAAGGUAAAUAUGGAAACGAAAAGGCUAACAUAUGAAGACAUACUGGUUAAAACGGAAAAAGGUUGGAAGAUUAAACCAUAUGAUGAACUGAAAGACAGACUAACAGGCUGGUUGCAAUACCAUCAGAUAAAUGCACUUUGGAAUGAGGAUAAAAAAUCGGGGAUGAACGAGAAAAAAUCAAGAUACCAGACAGAGGGAUUAGAAGGAAAACCAAACUGUUAGCUAAGAUGUAUAAUUUGUUGUUAGAAUGGGACACAAAAGACGAAGAAGUAAAGGAGGUAAUGACAAAAUGGGCCAUGGACUUAGGACAUAAUAUAGAGUACGAAAAAUGGGAGAGGUUAUGGAACAGAGGAAUGAAAUUCACAGGGUGUGUCACAUUAAGGGAAAACCUAGAGAAAAUGAUGUAUUGUUGGUAUAUCACACCGGUAAAAUUGGAUAAAAUGUAUAAAAGCGGAAACAAAAUGUGUUGGAGAUGUAAGCAGAAGGAGGGGGAUUUUUACCACAUGUGGUGGGCGUGUGACAAAAUAAAAAAAUUUUGGGAGCUCAUUUAUAAUGAAUUAAAAAAUUUUUUUAGGUACACCUUUUCAAAAAAACCAGAGGCACUCCUCUUAGGAAUAAUUGGGGAUGAAAUCAAAAGAAAAGACCAAAACCUAUUUCAGUAUGUGACAACAGCAGCUAGGAUAUUAAUAGCUCAAAAAUGGAAAUCAGUGGAAAUUCCCACGAUUACGGAUUGGCAAACAAAAUUAUUCGAAUACGCAGAAUUGGCAAGAAUGACAAACAAAAUCAGACACCAAAAGGAAACAAAGUUUAAUGAAGAGUGGAGUAAAUUUGUAACCUAUAUUGAGAGUAAUUGUGGUAAAUUAAAAACUACAGCAGGCUUAACAUAAUCCUUGUUAUGCGUAAAUUUUUGACAUAGAAACUGCAGGAGAAGAAAAAAUGUAAGAAAACCGCAGCAGGAGGGGAGGGAGGUCACGAUGCGUGUUAACGCAGUGUAAAUAAGUGAAUGACACUAAACACUGAUAGAUAAGAGUGUUCAUUGUCUAUUCUUAUAUGCCUUUUUUUUCUUCUGUUAUAUGUUUUCUGUUUUUUUGUGAAAAUCUC